rnacentral:misc_RNA from 1 species
AAAAAAAAAAAAAAAAAACCUUUGCUGGAUCUGCUAGUUUAAAGUGAGGUAUAGCGUAUAGGUUGUCAGAAAAACUGGCUGGGUCAAGUUUUUUACUAACUUUUGACUGUGAGUGGUCCAAUCAGAACCUCUCAGUUAGUCAGUCCAAGUCCAACCAUUCAGUUUGAUCUGUCUGAUAAUGCUAAUGGGAGUGCGGAGCUAGCUGCUUAAAAUUGCAUUGGCUUCAAAUCUUUUGUUAAUGUUUUUAUUAUGUUUUAAGUACAUAUUCCUCAAUAUCAUAAUAAUCUCAAUUUGGAUUUUUCGGCAGUUAACUUUUUCUGAAUGCAUUAUUAAUAUUGGGGAUCUUUGAUUGUCUGGAAGUUGAAUUUGUGAUGACAUUCUCAUAGGUAAAUCUACACAUGCUCUGAAUUAU